rfam:Vibrio genomosp. F6 str. FF-238 FF-238_contig_136, whole genome shotgun sequence.
UCAUCACCAUCAUCACCCAGUUUAGUCUUUCGGGAGAUACGCGCAUACCCGGGAGGCAGGAAAACUCCCGGAGGUUAAGUCAAAGUAUUUAGAUUUAAACCCUCGGGAGAGAAACUUCCGAGGGUUUUUUUAU